CCCGGGCUGUUGACUGUACCCGGUGGAGGAAGCACGGCUAACUCUGUGCCAGCAGCCGCGGUAAUACAGAGGUGGCGAGCGUUGUUCGGAAUUACUGGGCGUAAAGGGCGCGUAGGCGGCUCGACAAGUCCCGCGUGAAAUCCCCCGGCUCAACUGGGGAACUGCGCGGGAAACUGUCGGACUUGAGUUCGGGAGAGGGAAGCGGAAUUCCGGGUGUAGCGGUGAAAUGCGUAGAUAUCCGGAGGAACACCGGUGGCGAAGGCGGCUUCCUGGACCGACACUGACGCUGAGGCGCGAAAGCUAGGGGAGCAAACGGGAUUAGAUACCCCGGUAGUCCUAGCCCUAAACGAUGAGCGCUGGGUGUAGGGGGUUUUAACCCCCCCUGUGCCGAAGCUAACGCAUUAAGCGCUCCGCCUGGGGAGUACGGUCGCAAGGCUGAAACUCAAAGGAAUUGGCGGGGGCCCGCACAAGCGGUGGAGCAUGUGGUUCAAUUCGACGCAACGCGAAGAACCUUACCGGGGUUUGAACUGUGCAGGACAGGUGCAGAGAUGCACUGUUCCUUCGGGACCUGUAUAGAGGUGCUGCAUGGCUGUCGUCAGCUCGUGUCGUGAGAUGUUGGGUUAAGUCCCGCAACGAGCGCAACCCUUGCCUCCUGUUGCUAACAGGUAAAGCUGAGCACUCUGGAGAGACUGCCGGUGAUAAACCGGAGGAAGGUGGGGAUGACGUCAAGUCCUCAUGGCCUUUAUGCCCCGGGCUACACACGUGCUACAAUGGCUGGUACAAAGGGUCGCAAAACCGCGAGGUGGAGCUAAUCCCAAAAAACCAGUCCCAGUUCGGAUUGCAGUCUGCAACUCGACUGCAUGAAGUUGGAAUCGCUAGUAAUCGCGGAUCAGCAUGCCGCGGUGAAUACGUUCCCGGGCCUUGUACACACCGCCCGUCACAUCACGAAAGCCGGCUGUACUAGAAGUCGCUGCGCCGACCCGUAAGGGGGGCAGGCGCCCACGGUAUGGUCGGUGAUUGGGGUGAAGUCGUAACAAGGUA
rnacentral:rRNA from 1 species